AUUGAACGCUGGCGGCAUGCCUUACACAUGCAAGUCGAACGGUAACGGGCCUUCGGGUGCCGACGAGUGGCGAACGGGUGAGUAAUACAUCGGAACGUGCCCGAUCGUGGGGGAUAACGAGGCGAAAGCUUUGCUAAUACCGCAUACGAUCUACGGAUGAAAGCAGGGGACCGCAAGGCCUUGCGCGGACGGAGCGGCUGAUGGCAGAUUAGGUAGUUGGUGGGAUAAAAGCUUACCAAGCCGACGAUCUGUAGCUGGUCUGAGAGGAUGAUCAGCCACACUGGGACUGAGACACGGCCCAGACUCCUACGGGAGGCAGCAGUGGGGAAUUUUGGACAAUGGGCGCAAGCCUGAUCCAGCCAUGCCGCGUGCAGGAUGAAGGCCUUCGGGUUGUAAACUGCUUUUGUACGGAACGAAAAGCCUUCUUUUAAUACAGGAGGGUCAUGACGGUACCGUAAGAAUAAGCACCGGCUAACUACGUG
rnacentral:rRNA from 1 species